rnacentral:rRNA from 1 species
UACGGAGGGUGCAAGCGUUAUCCGGAUUUAUUGGGUUUAAAGGGUCCGUAGGCUGAUUUGUAAGUCAGUGGUGAAAUCUCACAGCUUAACUGUGAAACUGCCAUUGAUACUGCAAGUCUUGAGUGUUGUUGAAGUAGCUGGAAUAAGUAGUGUAGCGGUGAAAUGCAUAGAUAUUACUUAGAACACCAAUUGCGAAGGCAGGUUACUAAGCAACAACUGACGCUGAUGGACGAAAGCGUGGGGAGCGAACAGGAUUAGAAACCCGAGUAGU